rnacentral:lncRNA from 1 species
GAGGAGGGGGGGAAGGAGAAAGGGCGGAGCUGCGGUGUUGCCGUGGUAACGAGGAGCGGUAUGGGGAGCGGGGGGGGGGGAGAGGGCCGCUAUGGGGCGGCUGUGGGGGCCGGGAGGGCUGUAGAGCCAAUGGGAGACGUAUAGGGCACACUGGGGCGGCCAUAGGGGGCUAUGGGGGAGAGAGAGGGAAUUAUGGGGCGGCUAUAGGGGGCAGGAGGGCUAUGGGGCGGAUAUGGGGUGGCUGUAGGGGGCAGGAGGACUAUAGGGGUGCCAUAGAGUGGAUAUAGGGGAUAUAUGGGGGGCCUUAGAGCGGCUAUAGACGAGGGGAGGGCCAUAGGGGAGACAUGGAGCGCUAUGGGGCAGACACGGGAGGCCUGUAGGGUGCUAUGGGGCGGCUGUGGGGAAUGGGAACGCUGUAGGGGAGAUAUAUGGGGGUACGGGUCAGAUAUGGGGCGGAUAUGGGCAGGCGUGGGGGAAGGCAGGGCUAUGGGGGACGUGCAGGGCGCUAUAGGGUCGCUGUACCCCCCCAUAUAGAAGCACAGUACCUAUGGGUGCCCACAGUCUAUAGGUACUCCUAAUGGGUGUGUGUGGGGGGGAGGGGUUAAUUAGCGUCCCCUCAUUACUUUCACCCCUCAUUAAGGCCUCUUUCCCACCACAGGACUGGCUCAUACCACGAGUGACCACCCCCACACACACACUCUUAAUUAACACAGCCCUGUUAAUUCCCACCAUGCCAAGCCCUCACCAACACCCACCUUGGGCCACCUCCUUUACCCCCCCCCUUAAUUAACCAAGGCCCAUUAAGGACCCCCCCCCAAUUAACCAGGCCCCAUUAAGG